rnacentral:SRP_RNA from 1 species
GCCGGGCAUGGUGGUGCGUGCCUGUAAUCCUAGCUACUUGGGAGGCUGAGGUGGGAGAAUUGCUUGAGCCUGGGAGGCAGAGGUUGCAGUGAGCUGAGAUUAUGCCACUACACUCCAGCCUGGGCGACAGAGUGAAACUCCAUCUCAA